GUGUAUGUGUGUGUGUGUGUGUGUGUGUGUAUAUAUAAUAUGUGUGUGUAUAUAUAUACACACAUAUAUAUAUUCACACAUACACACACACAUAUA
rnacentral:miRNA from 1 species